UUUCCGUUGGUGAACCUGCGGAAGGAUCAUUAUUGUGUUACCGAACUCCCAUAACUCUCCCUGACCCGACAUCUCGUCCACUCCCGCGUUCGCUCACACACCUCCAUCUCACCCCUAUGUCCACCACCGCGUGGUUCCCACUCUGGCUUUUUUGGAGGUCUGCUUACUUUUUCACACAACAUUUGUCUACACUGUAGAAUGUCUUUUUUUUUUUUGCGUUCACGCAAUCAAUACAACUUUCAACAACGGAUCUCUUGCCUCUCUCAUCUCUGAACACCC
rnacentral:misc_RNA from 1 species